AGCCACGCAAGGGUUUUCGAAAUGUAAACCCCUGUUGGCUGGCCUUCAGGGUUGUGGGAAAUAGAGGGAGCUGGGAAGGGAAUGGAGCCUUGGCAAAAGCAGAGAUGGGGACACUGGGGAACAGAAAAGUCUGGGAGGGGGCUAGGAGAUUAACUUACUUCCUUCAGGUGUUUCUUUCCUUCCUUCUUUUUCCUCCUUCUAUCCAUUCUCACGUUUCUUUUCACAAGCAGAGAACAUUUUGAUAGAUUUUCUCAUAACUUGAGAAAAUGCGAGACAAAUAUUCAGAGUAUAUUUUAUAGCAAUAAAACACACCUACACGGAUAAAUCUGCUCCGCACCAAAACCUGCCUCCUCUGGAGCAGCGUGUCAGCUUCCACGCCAGAUUCUGAACCAACAUUUAUGACCACUUUUGUAAAUCAUAAGCCACUAGGCAUGUUAUUCCCUUUUACAGGCCUUGCUUAGCCUACUUGCCCAUAAAAUGAGUUGGAGAUGAUCCAUACUGUGGCCCCAUCCUUCUAGUGCUAACUGGUCUGGGGGAGGCAAGCUCGUGGGGCCCUCAGAGGCAUUUCACCCGGAAUGGAAUGAAUGAGCGCAGGUUUAAGGUCCGGUCUUCUCUGUCAGUUACACUAUACUUGUCCCUUACUGACAUUGCAGGAAAUAUUGAUUGAUUAGAAGACGGGGCUGGUAGCAAAGAGAAAAAACAUCCUCUUCAAUGUAUUAAAAAUCAAGAAAUUGCCCUUUGGUUUACACCUGGAAGUCUUACUUUCUAGAAAGUGUUUAUAAAAACUGGCUUGAGUUUUCCUUGAAGGUAAGGCAGAGCUGAUGCUGUAGGCAGAACUGCUGUAGAGUGGGUCACUGAAGCCAGGCCUCUGGGCUAGCAGACAUGGCCGUUUCCUCCUUUUUGGACAUGCCCUUUCUUGUCCUCCUACAAUAGCCAAACCUGCUGGGUUCGAGGGAUGCAAUUUCAAGAACUGCCUCAACUUUUCCUAUGACCUUUUGUAACAUAAAAAGGAGCAAGCUUCAAACAGUAUUUAAUCACCUUCUACACUCUUUGUGUUUCCUGGUGCUUUAAAUAUUGAUGCUUAUCAGAAACUCUGGAGUUAAACUUGACGGAGUGAACUUUCAGCAUAGUGUUUGUGUAUUAGCCAUUUUGGAUUCUUUGUAUUAGCCAUUUUGGAUUAUUGGCUAUAAGGCCUUUCCUAUAAGCUUCAGGCCAUAUUGAGUACAGGGCCAACAACGGCAGGAAAAGAGGAAGCAACCAUGACUUAAUACUGGAGGAAGUGUCCAUAAAAUUUGUAUUUUGGAGAAGAGAAGGGGCAACAAAAUUAUCCACAUUACCUCUCUCAUUUGACAAGCUUGUCAAGUAGGUGAGGAGUUAAAAUAUAGUACAUAGGUGAAUAAGAACUGAAAAUUACCUUUAUAUAAAGCUAAACUUCUUAAGGGAUGCACAGUAACGGAGUAAUCAGUAAAGAGGGGGAGUAGCCCAAGAGAAGAAAGUUACAAAAAAACAACUUUGGAAGGAAGCCAUAACGGGGAUUAGUGAAGGUUUCAAGGGGUACCAUAACAAAAUAGGACAGAUGGGUGGCUUAAACCACAGGAAUUUAUUUCUCACAGUUGUGGAGGCUAAGUUCAGGAUCAAAGCACCAGCCAAUUCAGGUCUCCCAUGAUGACUCUCUUCCUGGCUUACAGGUGGUCUCCUCCUUGCCAUGCCCUGGCACGUAGACCUCUAGUCUCUUUCUCUUAUAAAGACAAUCCCUUCAUAGAGUCCCAGGCUCAUAACCUCAUCUAAACCUAAUUAACUCUCAAAGGCCGAGCUCCAAAUACCAUCAUGUUGGAGGUACGGCUUCAACAUACAAAUCUGGGGGAGAGGGGAAAGGGAAGACAGUCUGUAACAGUAUAUUUUGCUUGAGAGGAACAACCAGCUAAAAGGGUUAAUACAUAAAAUACAUGUUGGAGAAAGCAAUUGUUUUUAUAAUUGGAAUGUUGUUCUGCUGUGAAGAAUGAUAGGAAGUGUGGGACAAAGUCCGAAGAAAGCUUUAAAUAUUAAGGUGAAGUGUUAGACUAUGCAAUGGGUGCUAAGUGUUCCUUACAUUCUCCUGAGUUGGGUAAUAGGUGAUUUUUAAAAAUAGUCUCUUACCCCACAAAACAAAUGAGUUACCAGUAAAUGGAUUGUGUUAGUAAUCCAGAUAGGAGGUGGUGAGAGUCACUCAAACUAAUAACUUACAUAAUUAUGAUGUUGCAAAGUGUGAUUCAACAACCUUGUCAAGGAGGUGGAGCAGAUAUUAUUAACUCAUCUAUUUUAUAGAGUGAAACUGAAAUACAGAGGUUAAGGCAAUCUACUUCAGAGUACUGUUUUCCCUUCUGGACAUCAUAUUUUUAAACAACUAUAUUGAGAUAUAAUUCACACACCAUAUAAUUUAUCCAUUGAAAAUGUACAAUUCAAUGGCUUUUAGCAUAGUCACAGAGUUGUACAACCAUUGUGGCAAUCAAUUAUACAUUAUUUUCAUCACCCCAAAAAGAAACCCCAUAACCCAUAGCCAUUAUCCCCAAUUUUUCUAUCCCUGACCCCAAGUCCUAGGCAACCACUUAUGUAUUUUCUGUCUCUAUAGAUUUGCCCACUCUGGACAUUUUAUAUAAAAGAAACCAUAUAGUGUGUGGUCUCUUGGAACUUGGCUUCUUUUCACUUCGCAUAUGGUUUUCAAGGUUCAUCCGUGUUAUAGCACAGAUUCAGACUUCAUUUCUUUUUACUGCUGUGUACUAAUUUGCAUCAUACGUUGAGAAAGUUGAUUGUACACCUGAAACUAAUAUAAUACUGUAUGCUAACUCUACUAGAAUUAAAUUUUUUAAGAAGUUAGAGACAUGUUAAGACCAAUUGGGACACAUUCAGCUGAGGGCAUCUAGGUCUUAAAGUAUCUCAAAACUGUGUCGUAACUCAAAACUGUCUGACUUGAAGGUGCUACAUUUAGAAGUCUUGGAAGAAAGCUACAGCAAACAAAUUUUACUUUGAUUUGAGGAAAAAUGGUGUACAAUUCCCCCAAAGGGAAUAGGCAACCUUAGAAGCUUACUCAUUCUUAAGAUAUAAACAUCAAGACUGGAUGAUUGCAUUUUGGGAAAGAUCUAGAAAUAGAUAAACUUUAAAGAUCCUUUCCAACCUUGAGAUUCUAUAUCAUUCAGAAGUCAGAUGGGAUUAGUGUCAGAACUGAGAUUAAAAUUCAGAGGCUCCCUCUGGCCUCCAACCUUGUCCCUAUUUAUCUUGCCAUAUGACAAAUAAGCAGAAGUGGGAAAAGGGAAUGUAUCUAAGAUGUGUUGUCUUGGUGUGUUGAUGGAUUAGUGUGGGGAUAAGGAGGAACCAGAGAAGAAGACAGUCAGGACAACCUGACAUGUACACACACACACACACACACACAAAGGGAGGGAGAAAGAAAUCAGAAGGGCAGCGCAUAUCUUUGGCUGACAAAGGUGAGAACAGACAUGGCAUGUGGACACUUUUUCAUCGCCUACAUUGAGGUUUUUGCUUUCUGAGAAGGAAAGAGUUUGGUUUGGGGAGAGGCUAAAAAAAUUUAGAAAAACAGAAGGGCUAGCACGGCAUCUGUACCCCUCUUUCGCCGGAGAUAGAAAAGUCCAAACCAAAACCAUUUCUAUUAGAGAAGUGGGCUUCUAAGCAAAGGUUGAACAAGAAAAGCCCUUUGGAUUGUUACUGAGAGACUUUAUAGGUCAAGUCGCACUCUCUGGGUGUGCAAGUUCCCCUGUGGGGCAGAGAUCAUGUAGAAGCUAUCAUCUCUGCAUGGAACAUACCGCCUCUCAGGCACCUUCACACCGGUGGACUAAAACUUCUAGACGCAAGUGCUUUGGGUAUGGACAUUCACCUUCUCCCGAUGCGCACUGCACGAGUGGCAAUCCUUGGUUUUCCUCAAGUAGCUUCACAGACAGUGGCCAUGACCAAAGGAACUGGAAAAGAAGAGAAAAAAACACACAGGAUAUUUAAAAAUGACUUCAACCAACAGACUGGUCUGGGAGCACAUGUGAAGAUAAGGCCACCUUGGUGGACUUUCAGGAGAAUGUGGGGAACGCUUUGAGGAGGCUUAAGUUCCUGCUAAAGCAGGCAAGAGAAACAAAAGCAAAACUAACUAGUGGUACUACAGCAAGAUAAAAGGCUUUUUCACAACAAAGGACACCAUCAAUGAAGUGAAAUGGCAACCUAGCAAAUGGAAGAAGAUAUCUGCAAAUAAUAUCUCUCAUAAGGGGUAAAUAUUCAAAAUAUAUAAAGAACUUAUGCAAUACAACACAACAAAAAGACAAAUAAUCUGAUUUAAAAAUGGGCAGAGGACCUGAAGAGACAUUCUUCCAAAGAAGACCUACAGAUGGCCAACAGAUCACGAAAAGUUUCUCAACAUCGCUAUCAUCAGGGAAAUGUAAAUCAAGACCAUAAAGAGAAAUCACCUUACACCAUUUCAGAAUGGCUAGAAUCAAAAAGACAAGAAAUAAAAAGUGUUGGUGAGGAUGUGGAGAAAAGAGAACCCUCAUGCACUAUUGGCUAUUCUAGGAAGAAUAGUCUUCGCCUCUGAUUCAACAUCAAUUCAUUCAUUCAACAAACGUUUGUAGAGAACUUAACACGUGAAGGAAGAAGCUUGUACCUCUACAGUUAGUGAACUGUCAAAAUGGGACCAAGUUCUGUGUACUUUUCACUCAAUUACAACUUCUUUAGAUUCGGAAAUCUUUUCAAGUCAUGCAAAGAAAGUGAAUAGAGUGUUCAAUUACUUGAAUACUUACAAAUUUUUACAUUUAGUUCAAUGACUUAUUGAACGUUACUGAAAUUAUAAUUUUAAAUGAAGAAA